rnacentral:rRNA from 1 species
UAGUCAUAUGCUUGUCUCAAAGAUUAAGCCAUGCAUGUCUCAGUACAAGCCUAAUUAAGGUGAAACCGCGAAAGGCUCAUUAAAUCAGUUAUGGUUCCUUAGAUCGUACCCACAAUUACUUGGAUAACUGUGGUAAUUCUAGAGCUAAUACAUGCAAACAGAGCUCCGACCGGAGACGGAAGGAGUGCUUUUAUUAGAUCAAAACCAAUCGGUGGCGGGCUUGCUCGUCAUCGUACAACUUGGUGACUCUGAAUAACUUUUCGCUGAUCGCACGGUCUCGCACUGGCGACGCAUCUUUCAAAUGUCUGCCUUAUCAACUGUCGAUGGUAGGUUCUGCGCCUACCAUGGUUGUAACGGGUAACGGGGAAUCAGGGUUCGAUUCCGGAGAGGGAGCCUGAGAAACGGCUACCACAUCCAAGGAAGGCAGCAGGCGCGCAAAUUACCCACUCCCAGCACGGGGAGGUAGUGACGAAAAAUAACGAUACGGGACUCAUCCGAGGCCCCGUAAUCGGAAUGAGAACACUCUAAACCCUUUAACGAGGAUCAAUUG